rnacentral:misc_RNA from 1 species
AAGUCGUAACAAGGUUUCCGUAGGUGAACCUGCGGAAGGAUCAUUAACAAAUAUAAAACGCGAUGGGCUUUAAGCCUGUUGAUAAACGAUAUAGAUUGACGAAGAUAGACUAGAAAGUAUAACUUUUAACAAUGGAUCUCUUGGCUCUU